UACACAUGCAAGUCGAACGGUGAAAGAGAGCUUGCUCUCUGGAUCAGUGGCGAACGGGUGAGUAACACGUGAGCAAUCUGCCCUUGACUCUGGGAUAAGCGCUGGAAACGGCGUCUAAUACCGGAUACGAGCUGUGAAGGCAUCUUCAACAGCUGGAAAGAACUUCGGUCAAGGAUGAGCUCGCGGCCUAUCAGCUAGUUGGUGAGGUAAUGGCUCACCAAGGCGUCGACGGGUAGCCGGCCUGAGAGGGUGACCGGCCACACUGGGACUGAGACACGGCCCAGACUCCUACGGGAGGCAGCAGUGGGGAAUAUUGCACAAUGGGCGCAAGCCUGAUGCAGCAACGCCGCGUGAGGGACGACGGCCUUCGGGUUGUAAACCUCUUUUAGCAGGGAAGAAGCGAAAGUGACGGUACCUGCAGAAAAAGCACCGGCUAACUACGUGCCAGCAGCCGCGGUAAUACGUAGGGUGCAAGCGUUAUCCGGAAUUAUUGGGCGUAAAGAGCUCGUAGGCGGUUUGUCGCGUCUGCUGUGAAAACUGGGGGCUCAACCCCCAGCCUGCAGUGGGUACGGGCAGACUAGAGUGCGGUAGGGGAGAUUGGAAUUCCUGGUGUAGCGGUGGAAUGCGCAGAUAUCAGGAGGAACACCGAUGGCGAAGGCAGAUCUCUGGGCCGUAACUGACGCUGAGGAGCGAAAGGGUGGGGAGCAAACAGGCUUAGAUACCCUGGUAGUCCACCCCGU
rnacentral:rRNA from 2 species